ACGGAAGGCAGCAGUGGGGAAUAUUGCACAAUGGGGGAAACCCUGAUGCAGCGACGCCGCGUGAGUGAAGAAGUAUUUCGGUAUGUAAAGCUCUAUCAGCAGGGAAGAAAAUGACGGUACCUGACUAAGAAGCCCCGGCUAACUACGUGCCAGCAGCCGCGGUAAUACGUAGGGGGCAAGCGUUAUCCGGAUUUACUGGGUGUAAAGGGAGCGUAGACGGUCGAGCAAGUCUGAUGUGAAAGCCCGGGGCCCAACCCCGGAACUGCAUUGGAAACUGUUUGACUAGAGUGCAGGAGAGGUAAGUGGAAUUCCUAGUGUAGCGGUGAAAUGCGUAGAUAUUAGGAGGAACACCAGUGGCGAAGGCGGCUUACUGGACUGUAACUGACGUUGAGGCUCGAAAGCGUGGGGAGCAAACAGGAUUAGAUACCCUGGUA
rnacentral:rRNA from 1 species